rnacentral:RNase_P_RNA from 1 species
GGAGCCGACUGGAUGGCCGCGGUCCUUCGGGGCUGAGGAAAGUCGGGGCUCCGCAGGACAGGGUGCUGGCUCACGCCAGUCGAGGUGACUCGCAGGAAAGUGCCACAGAGAACAGACCGCCGGCGGGCUCGUCUCGCCGGUAAGGGUGAAACGGUGCGGUAAGAGCGCACCAGCAUCCCCGGUGACGGGGAUGGCUCGGCAAACCCCACUCGGAGCAAGGUCACGCAGGGAGAGAGCGGUCCGCUCGUCGACACUCCCGGGUCGACUGCACAGAUGGAUGGUCAUCCACGGGCCGCAAGGCCCCGGACAGAACCCCGCUUACAGGUUGACUCCCCGC